rnacentral:rRNA from 1 species
UCUGGUUGAUCCUGCCAGUAGUCAUAUGCUUGUCUUAAAGAUUAAGCCAUGCAUGUCUAAGUAUAAACACUUUGUACUUGUGAAACUGCGAAUGGCUCAUUAAAUCAGUUAUAAUUUAUUUGAUGGUCCUUUACUACUUGGAUAACCGUGGUAAAUCUAGAGCUAAUACAUGCACAAAAUCCUGACUGCUUUCGGGUAGGAGGGAUGUAUUUAUUAGAUUCAAAAGCCAAUGCCAUUCUUCGGAGUGGAAAUUUUUUAUAUGGUGAAUCAUGAUAACUUUACGAAUCGCAUAGUCUUGUACUGGCGAUAGUUCAUUCAAAUACCUGCCCUAUCAACUUUCGAUGGUAGUAUAGAGGACUACCAUGGUGGUAACGGGUAACGGAGAAUCAGGGUUUGAUUCCGGAGAAGGAGCCUGAGAAACGGCUACUACUUCCAAGGAAGGCAGCAGGCGCGCAAAUUACCCAAUCCCGACACGGGGAGGUAGUGACAAAAAAUAACAAUACCGGUCUUAUUAAAGUCUGGUAAUUGGAAUGAGUACAAUCUAAAACCUUUAACGAGUAUCAAUUGGAGGGCAAGUCUGGUGCCAGCAGCCGCGGUAAUUCCAGCUCCAAUAGCAUAUAUUAAAGUUGUUGCAGUUAAAAAGCUCGUAGUUGGAUUUUGAUGAUACUUUUCAUAACCUGCCUUGUAUAAGGUAUGUUUGUUGUGAAUCGUACAUCUCCUUACUAGACUUUCAUGGUUGUACUUAAUUGAAUGACCAUUUCAUUCUGAUUCGUUAGGGUGGGUGAUGAGUAGACCUAUUGGGUUCGAGAUUGUGGAUGAAUUUCUUCGGAGAUUGGUUCUGCUUGGAUUCAAUAACUAUUUAUUAGAAAUCUAGUUCAUUUACUUUGAGUAAAUUAGAGUGUUCAAGGCAAGCAAAUUUGUUUCUGCAAUGAAUACUAUUAGCAUGGGAUAAUGGAACAGGACACGUAUUCUAGUUUUCCGUUGGUUUCUAGAAUUUUUAGUCACUCUUUUUGGAGUGGCGAAGUGUAAUGAUUAAAAGGGACAGUUGGGGGCAUUCGUAUUUCAUUGUCAGAGGUGAAAUUCUUGGAUUUAUGAAAGACGAACUUCUGCGAAAGCAUUUGUCAAAGAUGUUUUCAUUAAUCAAGAACGAAAGUUAGGGGAUCGAAGACGAUCAGAUACCGUCGUAGUCUUAACCAUAAACUAUGCCGACCAGGGAUUGGAA